UUUUAGCUAAAAAUCAAAACUUCCAGUGGUUUCAUGUGCAGAUGAAUGCGUCUAGUUCUCUAAAAGCAGCUGGAGCUUCACCUCUUCUCUAACCCACAGUAUUUACAGGGUGUGACAGAUGGAUUUUUCCAGCCGUCACAUGACUGAUUCCUUCAGGGUGGGGGGGUCGUUGUGUCUGUGGCGUCCCAGACUUGCUUUAGCUGCCUGUGUCCAAGUAAGAGUCGCAGGCAACUUAAAACAAGCCUCGAAAGCAAGACUGUGUCCGCUGAUGGAGCAGUCGGCGACGAUGGGGGUGGAGUUCAUGAUCAUAACACAAGGAAUCCACUGGGAGAAGACAAAGAAAACACAAGUACU